UGUAAUUGCGUUUCCCCGUAAAACAAACAAACAAACUCUCCCGAUUCUGGCGACUCUCUCUCUCUCUCAGACUCUCACAAGUCCGUCCUGAAGAGCAGAAUCGUGUCGUAGUGUGUCGUGGCGGCAAUGCGAGAGGAACAUAAUCCAGGUAGGGACGGUCGUCGAAGUGGAGGACUGAGGUCGUUGAUAGAGCCUCGCUUCUUGUCAUCGUUUGCUUUAAACGACGGUGGUUCGAUUUCUGGACGGAGAUCUUCCUACCUGAAACUUCCUCCUCAGGGUCGUAUCAAGCUUUCCGUCGUUAAGCUCAACGGUUCCCUUUUCGCAGAUGUGGAAGUCGCAAAGGAUUGCUCGGUGGCAGAGCUCAAAAGAGCUGUGGAACAAGUUUUCACCAUUUCUCCUCUGGAAGGCCACGGCAGGAUUUCAUGGUCCCACGUCUGGGGUCAUUUUUGCUUGUGUUAUCGUGACCAGAGAUUACUCAAUGACAAGACUAGCAUCCGUUAUCUCGGUCUCAAUGAUGGGGAUCAAUUACAUUUCGUAAGGCAUUUGUCCAUAGACCACUCUCCUAUGAACAAAAGAUCCAAGAGCCCCAGUUGCAAGCGCUACCUUGAGUUGGAAAUGGAAUCCGAAGCCAACGAAAUCCAAAUACAAAACCAAUACCAGAACAGUAUGGAUGAUGUAGCUGAGAAGUGUUACCCAGGAGCACAAGACGAGUUACCGGCAGCAGAAUUCAGACUAGUGAACCUAAUCAAAGGAUGGUUGCCUUAUGCUGGACGUUGGGGAGUGUCCAGAACAGGACCUGAGAGUCGCAGUGGUCCUUCCAGAUUUUCUUUGAAGCAUUUCGGUGGCAGGCCCAAGAUGUAAAACCGAUUGAUUCAAAGGAUCUAUUGUUUGUCUUCAUGCAUUACGAAAGCUGAAAGAAGAAACUCAGAAACCGUGGAAGGAAGUGCAGAAGUCGGCAGCAAGUGUCAAACCAUAGCAAGGCUCAAGACUUUCAUUCUCGAUCUUUUCCGCAUGUUGUCAUGAGCGGAGAGUGUACCACUCAAUAAAUUAGUAUCCAAGACUCCAAGGCACAGCCACUAAGGUUGUUACAGGUCAGGAUUGGAUUCUACUUUCUAAAGGGAAUGGAAUGAGUAAUGACUGAUGGAUAUCUGCAUGUGGGUCUAAUCUAGUAUUGGAUGUGUGAUGGUCUCAGAGUCCUGCAUGCACUGGACUGUAACAUCAAAAGGUGAGAGCGUUGUGCAUACAGUAACUUACACUAUCUGCCAACAGUAAAAAAAAAAAACGCAAAGAAGUGGGAUCUUAGAUUCCCAUUCUGAUUAGAGUUGAUGUCACUGUUAGAGGAGAGCACAGAGUCACAUGGUCAAGUCCCUCUCUUUCAACUUAAAAAAGGAAAAAGAAAAUAAGAUUCGAAGUAAAUGAAAGAGAGGCAGAGGAGGGAGAUCUUGGGUAGUGAUUGUCCUCCCAAGAUUUGGUGUCCUUCGCUGUCUCUUUUGAAAUUAACUGCACGAAAGAUAUUUGUGAGGUACGCAUUCCUUUGUGUUUCGUUUUCAAACUUCAUCAUCUAUUACAAGUUACAACUACUUUUUUGGAGUUUUUUUUUAACAAUUCGUGUAUGUAAAAAACAAAGUUACUUUGAUUUA